AUUCUCUGCAAUACAGCACAAGGGAAAACAGCACAAUCUAGUCUCUCUUUAUUCCUUCCCAUUGUCAGGUGGACCUUCAAGUCUGAAUGAGGACAUGACACCCUGCCCUCUAGAGGCAAUACCUGCAGGACUUGAUCAAAUUCCUGCAGAGAGAGAUGAGGAGCCAAAACACACAAAUCAGAACAGUCAGCAAAAAAUACAGCCGGAGGGCAUGGAGGCGGGCGACAUAAGGCAUAGACUGCAAAGUUUCAACUUUAUUCGUCCCACUAUGGAUGAAGCAGCAAAGAAAUCUUCUGGCAAGACAGAAUAAACAAUAUGAAUCACAUUUUUACCGUUUUUUUAUAUCCUGAUUAUGUUUUCUGACAGUUGCAUAAAAUUUAACAUACAAUUUCAAAUCUUAAAUUGAUAUACUAAAUUGAUCCUUUUUUAGUAUCUGUUCUCCACAAUUGGCUGCAGUCAUGUAGUAGUACAUUGUGUGUCUGUGUAGGUUACAAAUUUUUUUUUUUUAUUUACCAAAUCAUGUAAUACACACAGCCUUGCACAUCUGUUUUAAUAACAAUAUCCUGCCUAGCAUAUGCCUGCCUCAAUACAUGUGAAGCCAGCCUUCACCUCUUUUUUAACUGCUGCUAAUAAAGGGUAAAUAACACACCUUGGAACAAUCAUGCUCCAUUGUGUAUGUUUACAACACACUGAAUUUAUUAUUUAUUAUUAUCUAAUUCAGCUGGAUAAGCUCUGAUCCGUUAGACCGCAACUAAUUGUGCUCUAAAACCAUAA
rnacentral:lncRNA from 1 species